rnacentral:lncRNA from 1 species
UGGUUCAGAGGAUGCAAAGUUCAGAGGUUAUGUUGCCUCUGACUCUGAAGUGCUUCAGAGGAUGGAUUGCAGGCACAGGCACGUAGGCAAGCUCAUAGGCGCGCAGGCUUGAGCUUGAGCACACACACAGUUUUGCAAAAACUGUGUUAUACAAGAUGAAAACCUUUCUUGAUGAUUUUGAUUAAGAACUGAUUAUGAAACUUAGGGAAAAUAGAGAAUUUUAUUCUUCC